rnacentral:rRNA from 1 species
CAAACCAAAGCUGGCGACCGGCGCACGGGUGAGUAACACGUAUCCAACCUGCCUCAUACUCGGGGAUAGCCUUUCGAAAGAAAGAUUAAUAUCCGAUAGCAUAUAUUUCCCGCAAGGGUUUUAUAUUAAAGAAAUUCGGUAUGAGAUGGGGAUGCGUUCCAUUAGUUUGUUGGGGGGGUAACGGCCCACCAAGACUACGAUGGAUAGGGGUUCUGAGAGGAAGGUCCCCCACAUUGGAACUGAGACACGGUCCAA